UACGGAGGGUGCGAGCGUUGUCCGGAAUCACUGGGCGUAAAGGGCGCGUAGGCGGCCUGAUAAGUAGGGGGUGAAAUCCUGCGGCUUAACCGCAGGGCUGCCUUCUAAACUGUCAGGCUAGAGCACAGUAGAGGCAGGUGGAAUUCCCGGUGUAGCGGUGGAAUGCGUAGAGAUCGGGAAGAACAUCAGUGGCGAAGGCGGCCAUCUGGGACAACACUGACGCUGAAGCACGAAAGCGUGGGGAGCAAACAGG
rnacentral:rRNA from 1 species